rnacentral:rRNA from 1 species
UACGGGGGGGGCAAGCGUUGUUCGGAGUUACUGGGCGUAAAGGGCUCGUAGGCGGCCAACUAAGUCGGACGUGAAAUCCCUCGGCUCAACCGGGGAACUGCGUCCGAUACUGGAUGGCUUGAGUUCGGGAGAGGGAUGCGGAAUUCCAGGUGUAGCGGUGAAAUGCGUAGAUAUCUGGAGGAACACCGGUGGCGAAGGCGGCAUCCUGGACCGAUACUGACGCUGAGGAGCGAAAGCCAGGGGAGCAAACGGG